UACGUAGGGUGCAAGCGUUAUCCGGAAUUAUUGGGCGUAAAGAGCUCGUAGGCGGUUUGUCGCGUCUGCUGUGAAAACUGGAGGCUCAACCUCCAGCCUGCAGUGGGUACGGGCAGACUAGAGUGCGGUAGGGGAGAUUGGAAUUCCUGGUGUAGCGGUGGAAUGCGCAGAUAUCUGGAGGAACACCGGUGGCGAAGGCGACGAUCC
rnacentral:rRNA from 1 species